AGGAUCCUGUUGGGGAAGCCCUUUCUGCAGAUCCUGAUGCCUUCCAGCACACCGUUACAGCGCAGCUGGUGCAUGACCAGAGGAUUCUCCAUGGCCCCAGGAGUCUUGGUCUCGUUGGGGAUGAGGCAACGCACAAAGUGGGGAUGCAGGUCCAGCCUCUUGCAUUGGGAGACCUCAUGCCAGGGACACCAAACAUGACCACAUACAAGAAAUGCUAAUUCAUUUUGCUUUCAAGUUCCUUCUUCAUCUGUACAUCAGCUCAUUUCAAGUUCCUUCUCCCCUCUACAUCUGUACAUCAGCUCAUUUCAAGUUCCUUCUCCCCUCUACAUCUGUACAUCAGCUCAUUUCUAAAUAUUCUAUCUGAUUGUUGUCUCCAUGUCUUCUAAACUUUAGAUUGGACCCUUAUAAAUGUACUCUUUGUAACCGAAUACAGUUCAGGUACCGUUAACAGUUUUUAAUGGGUAGGCCUCUAAGUAGCCUAUGUAAAACAAUUGCUCUUGUUUUAAUUUUUAAAAAUUGUAUUACUUUUUAUUUUUAUACUUUAUCCAUGCAUUUCUCCAUAUAAUUUGUAGGUUUUUCU